rnacentral:lncRNA from 1 species
UGGGAAUAAAAUAAGUUAUGAAAUAUUCGUGUUAUAGAAUGUAGAAAAUGUGCAAACUUUAUACAUACUGGGAAGUCUGUUCUGAAUGUAAGUUCUUCUUUGAAUUUACCCUUGUGAUGCUUAAGGAAUCGUUUCCAUGCAUUGCGGAUUAAAAUAGUGAAUGAUACAGUGUUAAGUGAUAAUUUAGGAAACCAACUUUUGCAUAAAGAUAAAGGGUUAGAAUUAUUAUGAGUUUAGCAUGUCUUGAAUGUCUUGAUAGUCCUUCGGUGGUUUCUUCAAUGAAUCGAACACAAUGAUGUGGCUUCUAUCAAUCAUAAUUAUUAGGAGGAUCCAGUGGAAACUGCGUACAUAAAUGUUCAUAUUAGAGCAAAUUAACAUUAAUUAGGUAAGGAAAAAGAAAAUAAAAAUAGACGGUACCCGCACUUACUCAAAGUUGUGUGGUAGUAGUAUGUAUUCCUUGUAAUUUUAUUUGUCCAAGAAAUUGUAUACCGCCUCCAAUGUUUUCUUUGGCUGAUCCUAUAUCUGCCUUUGGUUAACGAGCGAUGGAUCCAUGAAUCCAACAUUGAAGUACAAUUCUCUGCGGCACCUCUGAAUUAGAAUCCUACAUAAAAUGGAAGACGAAUUUAGUAGGGCGACGCACAUACAAAAAAUUUCAUAUUGAUAAACAAACACUUACAGAACCCAGGCGCUGAUGAGAGAGAUGUCAAGGGCAUCCUGAUGGUACACUUCAUAUAUAUCCUUGAGUUCCAUCCAUAGGACUUUCUCACCUUCACCGAAAAAAUCUAUCGGUUUAACCCGAAGACCAAACACGAGCCUCUCAUCGGCAGACCGUUUCAUGUACCAUUCAUGGAAUUCGUACAUCUUCGUAGAUAGCUUUCG